UACGUAGGGGCCGAGCGUUGUCCGGAGUUAUUGGGCGUAAAGCGCGCGCAGGCGGCUUCGCGCGCCCGCCGUGAAAAGCCCCCGGCUUAACCGGGGAGAGUCGGUGGGGACGGCGGAGCUUGAGGGCGGGAGAGGUCGGUGGAAUUCCCGGUGUAGUGGUGAAAUGCGUAGAGAGUCGGGGAGGAACACCUGUGGCGAAGGCGGCCGACUGGGCCGACCCUGA
rnacentral:rRNA from 1 species